rnacentral:rRNA from 1 species
GAUGAACGCUGGCGGCGUGCCUAAUACAUGCAAGUCGAGCGAACAGACGAGGAGCUUGCUCCUCUGACGUUAGCGGCGGACGGGUGAGUAACACGUGGAUAACCUACCUAUAAGACUGGGAUAACUUCGGGAAACCGGGGCUAAUACCGGAUAAUAUAUUGAACCGCAUGGUUCAAUAGUGAAAGACGGUUUUGCUGUCACUUAUAGAUGGAUCCGCGCCGCAUUAGCUAGUUGGUAAGGUAACGGCUUACCAAGGCAACGAUGCGUAGCCGACCUGAGAGGGUGAUCGGCCACACUGGAACUGAGACACGGUCCAGACUCCUACGGGAGGCAGCAGUAGGGAAUCUUCCGCAAUGGGCGAAAGCCUGACGGAGCAACGCCGCGUGAGUGAUGAAGGUCUUCGGAUCGUAAAACUCUGUUAUUAGGGAAGAACAAAUGUGUAAGUAACUAUGCACGCCUUGACGGUACCUAAUCAGAAAGCCACGGCUAACUACGUG